rnacentral:rRNA from 1 species
UGGGGAAUUUACUUCAAAAAAAGGGGGAAAUUGGAGGUUUCCACCGGGGGUGGAACUGCUUUUGCGCGGGAAGAAUAACCCCCUCGUGAGGGGGGAUGCCGGUACCGCGCGAAUAAGGAUCGGCUAACUCCGUGCCAGCAGCCGCGGUAAUACGGAGGAUCCGAGCGUUAUCCGGAUUUACUGGGUUUAAAGGGUGCGUAGGCGGACGCCUAAGUCAGCGGUGAAAGGCAGCGGCUCAACCGUUGGACUGCCGUUGAAACUGGGCGUCUUGGAUUCGGUCGGGGCCGGCGGAAUGCGUGGUGUAGCGGUGACAUGCUUAGAUAUCACGCGGAACGCCGAUCGCGAAGGCAGCUGGCCAGGCCGAGAUCGACGCUGAUGCACGAAAGCGUGGGGAUCGAACAGGAUUAGAUACCCUGGUAGUCCACGCCGUAAACGAUGAUCACUGGAUGCCGGCGACACGCUGUCGGUGUCUGAGCGAAAGCAUUAAGUGAUCCACCUGGGGAGUACGAUCGCAAGGUUGAAACUCAAAGGAAUUGACGGA